UCCGAGUUGACACCGGCAGUCUCCUAUGAGUCCCCAACUUAAUGCUGGCAACACACCACGGGGGUUGCGCUCGUUGCGGGACUUAACCCAACAUCUCACGACACGAGCUGACGACAGCCAUGCAGCACCUAGUUUUGUGCCCUUGCGGGAAGACUCCUUUCAGAGUCGGUCACUAACUUUCAAGCCCUGGUAAGGUUCCUCGCGUAUCAUCGAAUUAAACCACAUGCUCCUCCGCUUGUGCGGGCCCCCGUCAAUUCCUUUGAGUCUCACCGUUGACGGCGUACUCCCCAGGUGGAUUACUUAUCGCUUUCGCUCAGCCACUGAAAGUUACCUCCCAGCAGCGAGUAAUCAUCGUUUACAGUGUGGACUAC
rnacentral:misc_RNA from 1 species